rnacentral:tRNA from 4 species
GGGCCGAUAGCUCAACUGGCAGAGCAACUGACUCUUAAUCAGUAGGUUCUCGGUUCGAUUCCGAGUCGGCCCACUA